CAGGCGUGGAUCCGAGGCCUCUGUUGCUCCGCCGAACAUCCGUUCUCUAAGAAAUUCGGCGACGGCAUUGGCCGGAGAUUGAGAGCUGAUGUCCGCUACGUUCAGAGUGUCGUUAUCAGUAGAAGACAAUAGAGGUACAACAGGAACCUCUUUUCCUUUCCCAAUAGGAGGAAGGGCAGGAGAUCCUUUGGAAGCCCUGGGCUUCUUC
rnacentral:lncRNA from 1 species